CAGCGUCUUUCAGGGCCUGUGGUUAAGCGGCUCCGAAAACACUGUUGCUGGUGGACCGGCUCGGGGUCUUGACUUCGCCAUCCAAAAGAACUUGAGAGCACGUCCAAAGUAAAGCUAAGACCUCUAGUACAGUGUUCAAUGGAACUGGUGAGAGAAGACGUGCUUGCUGUGUUCCUGAUAUGAAGAGGAAAGCAGUCCUUUUCCAUUGAAUAACUUCUAAUGUCCUCUCUUCAAGUUUCCAAAUCCUUCCGAUAUCC